CGGGGUGUGGCGCAGCCCGGUAGCGCACCUGCUUUGGGAGCAGGGGGCCGUAGGUUCAAAUCCUAUCACCCCGA
rnacentral:tRNA from 1 species